AUUUUGACUGAUAGUUAAGAUCAGAGGAUGUUGAGUGGAUCACAGUUUAUUUCAAAUGCUAUAAAAUUGAAAACAAAACAAAAAAACACCCACAAUUCAAUGAAAGUAAUCAAUAAUUUUACCUGCCAAGAAUGUUAAGUUACAGACACAG